UGAGUAAUAUAUCGGAACGUGCCCAGUAGUGGGGGAUAGCCCGGCGAAAGCCGGAUUAAUACCGCAUACGACCUACGGGUGAAAGGGGGGGACCGCAAGACCUCUCGCUAUUGGAGCGGCCGAUAUCAGAUUAGCUAGUUGGUAGGGUAAAAGCCUACCAAGGCGACGAUCUGUAGCUGGUCUGAGAGGACGACCAGCCACACUGGGACUGAGACACGGCCCAGACUCCUACGGGAGGCAGCAGUGGGGAAUUUUGGACAAUGGACGCAAGUCUGAUCCAGCCAUGCCGCGUGCGGGAAGAAGGCCUUCGGGUUGUAAACCGCUUUUGUCAGGGAAGAAAAGUCUGGAGCUAAUAUCUCCGGACGAUGACGGUACCUGAAGAAUAAGCACCGGCUAACUACGUGCCAGCAGCCGCGGUAAUACGUAGGGUGCAAGCGUUAAUCGGAAUUACUGGGCGUAAAGCGUGCGCAGGCGGUUCUAUAAGACAGAUGUGAAAUCCCCGGG
rnacentral:rRNA from 1 species